GAGGCGGGGAUCACCCGGUCCCAUCCCGAACCCGGCAGUUAAGCCCGCCUUCGCCGAGAGUACUGCAGCGCAAGGCUGCGGGAGGGCAGGGCGUCGCGCGCG
rnacentral:rRNA from 1 species